GAUGAACGCUAGCUACAGGCUUAACACAUGCAAGUAGAGGGACCGGCGCACGGGUGAGUGACACGUAUACAACCUGCCCUUUACCCGAGGAGAGCCGUUCGAAAGAAAGAAUAAUACCCGAUGUAAAGGAUGGGGAUGCGUUCCAUUAGGUUGUCGGUGAGGUCACGGCUAACCAAGCCUUCGAUGGAUGGGGGUUUUGAUAGGAAGGUCCCCCACAUUGGAACUUAGACACGGUCCCAACUCGUACGAGAGGCAGCAGUGAGUAAUAUUGGUCAAUGGGCUUUAGCCUGACCCAGCCAAGUAGCGUGAAGGAUGAAGGCUUAUGGGUCGUAAACUUCUUUUAUAGAAGAAUAUGUAUUAUAUGAAUAAGGAUCGGCUAACUCCGUGCCAGCAGCCGCGGUAAUAC
rnacentral:rRNA from 1 species